UUCGCAAUGCCCGAAAGGGUGACGAAGCGACGCCGCGUGUGGGAAGAAGGCCUUCGGGUUGUAAACCACUGUCGGGAGUUAAGAAAUGCAAGGGUGCUAAUAGUAUCCUUGCUUGACUAAGGCUCCGGAGGAAGCCACGGCUAACUCUGUGCCAGCAGCCGCGGUAAUACAGAGGCGGCAAGCGUUGUUCGGAAUUAUUGGGCGUAAAGAGCACGUAGGCGGCUAUGUAAGUCGGUUGUGAAAGCCUUCCGCUCAACGGAAGAACAGCAUCCGAUACUGCAUGGCUUGAGUGCGGGAGGGGAGAGUGGAACUUCUGGUGGAGCGGUGAAAUGCGUAGAUAUCAGAAGGAACGCCGGCGGCGAAAGCGGCUCUCUGGCCCAUAACUGACGCUGAGUGUGCGAAAGCUAGGGGAGCAAACGGGAUUAGAUACCCCGGUAGUCCUAGCCGUAAACGAUGGGCACUAAGUAGAGGGGUUUU
rnacentral:rRNA from 2 species